rnacentral:rRNA from 1 species
AAAGGUCGUAACAAGGUUUCCGUAGGUGAACCUGCGGAAGGAUCAUUAUCGUACAAAAUGUGUGAGGCAUGCGAGGGCUGUCGCUGGCUUUUGACACAAAAGUCGUGCACGCCGGAGUGUGUCCUCUCACAUAAAAUCCAUCUCACCCUUUUGUGCACCACCGCGUGGGCACCCUUCGGGAUCAAACCGAUCCGGGAGGGGGCUUGCGUUUUCAUACAAACCCCCUUUUUAAAAAGUGUAGAAUGACCCCAUUUUUGCGAUAACACGCAAUCAAUACAACUUUCAACAACGGAUCUCUUGGCUCUCGCAUCGAUGAAGAACGCAGCGAAAUGCGAUACGUAAUGUGAAUUGCAGAAUUCAGUGAAUCAUCGAAUCUUUGAACGCACCUUGCGCCCCUUGGUAUUCCGAGGGGCACACCCGUUUGAGUGUCGUGAAAAUCUCAACCUCCUCGGUUUCUUCUGGACACCGAAGGAGGCUUGGACUUUGGAGGCCUUUGCUGGCAUCUCGCCAGCUCCUCUCAAAUGAAUUAGCGGGGUCCUCUUUGCCGAUCCUCGACAUGUGAUAAGAUGUUUCCAUGUCUUGGUUUUUGGCUCUGUUGCCUUUGGGACCCGCUUCUAACCGUCUCAUCGAGACAAUGUUUGAGCUCGUCUCCCUUCUCGGGAAACACUCUCAGACCCACGAA